AUUGAACGCUGGCGGCAUGCUUUACACAUGCAAGUCGAACGGCAGCGCGGGCUUCGGCCUGGCGGCGAGUGGCGAACGGGUGAGUAAUAUAUCGGAACGUACCAAGAGUGGGGAUAACGUAGCGAAAGUUACGCUAAUACCGCAUACGAUCUAAGGAUGAAAGCAGGGGAUCGCAAGACCUUGUGCUCCUGGAGCGGCCGAUAUCUGAUUAGCUAGUUGGUGGGGUAAAGCCCACCAAGGCAACGAUCAGUAGCUGGUCUGAGAGGACGACCAGCCACACUGGAACUGAGACACGGUCCAGACUCCUACGGAGGCAGCAGUGGGGAAUAUCGGACAAUGGGCGAAAGCCUGAUCCAGCAAUGCCGCGUGAGUGAUGAAGGCCUUAGGGUGUAAAGCUCUUUUACCCGGGAUGAUAAUGACAGUACCGGGAGAAUAAGCUCCGGCUAACUCCGUGCCAGCAGCCGCGG
rnacentral:rRNA from 1 species